rnacentral:rRNA from 1 species
AGUGUUUUCCGCGUUGGACCGCACACAAGUCUGUUGGAAUACAGCGGCAUAGUGGUGAAACCCCCGUAUAUGGUGCGGACGCCCAGCGCUUUGUGAUACACUUUCAAUGAGUCGAGUUGUUUGGGAAUGCAGCUCAAAUUGGGUGGUAAAUUCCAUCUAAAGCUAAAUAUUGGCGAGAGACCGAUAGCGAACAAGUACCGUGAGGGAAAGAUGAAAAGCACUUUGGAAAGAGAGUUAACAGUACGUGAAAUUGUUGGAAGGGAAACGCUUGAAGUCAGACUUGCUUGCCGGAGCUUGCUUCGGUUUGCAGGCCAGCAUCAGUUUUCCGGGGUGGAUAAUGACGGUUUGAAGGUAGCAGUCUCGGCUGUGUUAUAGCUUUCCGUUGGAUACGCCCUGGGGGAC